CAUAAACAAGUAUGGUACAAGUAUGGCUAAAUGGUACUUUUCUUACAUUUCAAGCAAUCAAGCAAUAUUCACAUGUGCUGCAUAAUUUGACCUUGCAAACACCUUCUAAAUGACAUUUAUGAGCUUUCCCAAUUGGCCAAAUGUUGAAAAAAUGCUUGAGUCAAAAAGUCAACUCUUGGUCAAACUUUGAAUUUAAAUGAAAAAGGUCCAAAAAUGCCAUUUUGAUUGGUAAGGUUUCAGGUCAUGAAAUUUAUAUUUUUGGAAAGAGGGGAUCAAAUGUGACUUGUAGGAAAAAACCCCACCAAAAUCGGCCAAACGGUUUGAGAGAUAUGGCCCUUUGAAGUUC
rnacentral:lncRNA from 1 species